rnacentral:rRNA from 1 species
ACGACUACAUAUCAGGCAUAUCAAUAAGCGGAGGAAAAGAAACUAACUAGGAUUCCCUUAGUAACGGCGAGUGAAGCGGGAAGAGCUCAAAUUUGAAAUCUUCAAGGUUCUACCUUGACGAAUUGUAGUUUAAAGAAGUGUUUUCUGUUGGUAGUUUUCGGUAAAAGUUCUUUGGAAUAGGACAUCAUAGAGGGUGAGAAUCCCGUAUUUGACCAUUAUUUUCCAACUUUGUGAUACACUUUCAAAGAGUCGGAUUGUUUGGGAAUGCAGUCCAAAAUGGGUGGUAAAUUUCAUCUAGAGCUAAAUAUUGGCGAGAGACCGAUAGCGAACAAGUACCGUGAGGGAAAGAUGAAAAGAACUUUGAAAAGAGAGUUAAACAGUACGUGAAAUUGUCAAAAGGGAAGCGUUUGACACCAGUGUUGUUUUCUCGAAAAUCAAUUAAAAAUGGCUGGGAUGUUGUGUUGUAUUGACUUUAUCAGCUUUCUGCACUUUUUUUCCUAUCUUUUUUAAGUGCACUUUUCGUUUCAACAAGUCAACAUCAAUUUCUUUUGUUGUAAAAGAGGUCAUUGGAAGGUGGCUUUCUUUUCGGAGAAAGUGUUUAUAGCCUUUGACUUCUGCAAUCGGAGAGAUUGAGGUCUGCAGCGUAGAUCCUUCGGGGUUAGAUGCAUUUGUGCUAAGUUAUAGCCUUUUCAUAGACAACUUGUUGACUAUGAUCAGUCAUGUAGCUUACUCGCUUAUGGCUAUUUUACCUACGCUUAGGAUGUUGAAUCUGUGCGAGACUAC